rnacentral:rRNA from 1 species
CAGGCCUAACACAUGCAAGUCGAACGAGAUCCUUCGGGGUUUAGUGGCGCACGGGUGCGUAACGCGUGGGAAUCUGCCCUUUGGUUAGGAAUAACAGCUGGAAACGGCUGCUAAUACCGGAUGAUGACGAAAGUCCAAAGAUUUAUCGCCAGAGGAUGAGCCCGCGUUGGAUUAGGUAGUUGGUGGGGUAAAGGCCUACCAAGCCGACGAUCCAUAGCUGGUAUGAGAGGAUGAUCAGCCACACUGGGACUGAGACACGGCCCAGACUCCUACGGGAGGCAGCAGUGGGGAAUAUUGGACAAUGGGCGAAAGCCUGAUCAAGCAAUGCCGCGUGAGUGAUGAAGGCCCUAGGGUUGUAAAGCUCUUUUACCCGGGAAGAUAAUGACUGUACCGGGAGAAU